GACGAACGCUGGCGGCGUGCUUAACACAUGCAAGUCGAACGAAGUGGCGAACGGGUGAGUAAUACGUGGGUAACCUGCCCUCCUUUUUGGGAUAAGCCUUGGAAACGGGGUCUAAUACCGAAUAAAGGGGGAUGGGCUCGCGGCCUAUCAGCUUGUUGGUGGGGUGAUGGCGUACCAAGGCGGUGACGGGUAGCCGGCCUGAGUGGGUGACCGGCAACAGUGAGACCGGGAUACGUCCCAGAGUACUACGGGGGGCAGAAGUGGGGGAUAUUGCACAAUGGGCGAUGGCGUAAUGCAGCGACGCCGCGUAGGGGAUGAAGGCUUUCGGGUUGUAAACCUCUUUCGCUAGCGAAUGGGUACGUGGAGAAGAAGCGCCGGCUAACUACGUGCCAGCAGCCGCGGUAAUAC
rnacentral:rRNA from 1 species